rnacentral:tRNA from 1 species
GGAGAGGAAGAUGCCCGGUGGUAUCCGCGGGCUUCAAACCCGUCGUGAGGCAGUGCACCUGUCUCUGGUAGGUUCGACUCCUACCCUCUCCG